CAUAUGCCCCCUUGACCCCUCUUAACCCCGCCCCAGAGCCGGCAGCAAACUCUGAGGAGAAGUCAGGGCAGCGCGAGGGCAGCUGCCCCAGCGAAGGUCACUGCGCAUGCUCGGUUCGGCAGCGCAUGCUCAGUUGCGCCCAAAGCAGGGACGUGGGGGAGGGAGUUUUCCCUGUCGUUGGUGGCCGCGAGGGGAGCGUCCAGCAUGAGGCAGAAGAAGAAAGGAGACCUCAGCCAUGCAGAGCUGAUGAUGCUGACAAUAGCUGAUGUCAUUAAACAGCUGAUUGAGGCUCAUGAGCAGGGAAGAGAUGUGAAUCUAAAUAAGCUUCUCCGAGGAAGAGGAGACACAGAAAGAAAAAGAAGAAACCGAAAGCUUUUGGACACUGCGAGGAAGAGUUGGAGGAGGCUUGUGCAUCCCUAGAGACAUGGUUGCACAGUGUCUGACUUGCCAGAAAGAGGGAAAGGAAUUAAAUCUGGAUACUACCUUGAAAAGCAUAAAGUUUAACCUGUAUAUUUGUGAAAGAUUGGGAAUAAAACGUAGCUUCACCAGCCCGUACCACCCACAAACCAAUGGCUUGGCUGAAAAUGCUAAUAAAUCCAUCAAAAGUUUCCAGAAGUCUCAGAGAACUACACGGUGGUGUAUGUUGUUACCAGCACCUUUCAUCGACACAUGGCAUUCAGUGUGUCUUCAUUUUACAAAUACAACCCCUUCUCCAUUUGUUUACAAAGAUCCCAGAUAUGAAUACAUUCGGGGAAGAUUUCUGCAAAGAGUACAGCAUAAAUAUGAAAUUGAGACAUGAUGCUGACAUUGCUCUGGCUCUAAGUAAUAUUUCUAAAGCACAAGAAAAACAACAAAGACAUUAUGCUAAAAGAAAGACUUCUAAAUAUGGGGAAAUAACAUUUGAUGUUGGGGACUGUGUUCUGCUACUGAAUUCUAGAAAGAGAACAGGAAAAGGAGAAAUGGUGCAACCUACCUAUCGGGGACCAUACAAAAUUAUGACUGUUGAGGGUGAGAGUGAAAUUACAAACCAUCUAAUGGAAAUUGUUAGGAACCAUGUAUAGCAUCGCACACUUAAAACCAUUUAAAGAGCCACCAACAUUAGCUGCUGAAAGCGCAUCCGAUGUUUUUCUCUGAACUGAAAUUUCAGUUGGUGACAAUGAACCAGAAACACACUCAGAGUGCCAUCCACUUUUCUAAUGUCUUCUAUCUCACAAGUCUCAUGACAGCACAGUGAAAAACAUAGAGGUCACAGCAACAGAAGAAGAGGAGUAUGUAGGGCAAGAUGUUUCAAGCAAUGAUACAAGUGAUGCUGAUGACAAUUUUGAUAUGUUUAUGGAGGAGGUGGAAGACAAGCAAUGGAUUCUGAAAGUCAAACUUGUAAUGACCGGCAAACACACAGAGACUAGAGGCCAAAGUGAGAAAAAUCAAAUUGUAUGGCUCUUCAUUUCAUUGCCUGAAACCAAGAAGCUGGGUUAUUGGUGCAUAUUUGAGCCGUGUGGUCGAGAAAGCAGAUGGAAAGAUAGUUCAUCAAACGAUUAACUAGCAAAUCCUCAUCUGAUUGGAAGAGUAAAAUUCUUCAGCAUCCCAGACAAAGUGAUGGCCACAACUGUGGACCACUCAUCUUAAAGAAGUUAGUUUGCAGAAACCUAUUUCCAGCAGAAAGACAUCAGUAUGGUAGAAACAACACAAGAGGCUAAUACUGCGUUUAGAAGACAAAGAACAGUUGUUCUAAUGAAGGAGUCAGAUACAGACUAACACGCCUGCUACUCUGAAACCUGACAAAAAAGAAAAAAGCGUGGAGGACUACUGCAUAUACUGCAACUUUGUCAUUUGUGAAAAGGAAAGUGAGGAUUGCACGAUGGUCCAGUGUGAUUCUUGCAAGAGGUGGGCACAUAUGCCCUGCAUUACAGAAGGAACCAAUCAAGAAAACCUGACUGAUGAGAAGAAAGAAUACAAGUGUAAAAAGUGUGCAUAGUUCACUUCUUUACCAAAAAAUAACAUUGUUUAAAUGCUUGUUGUUCAAAACAUCAUGGAACUAAAGGAAAACUCUUUCUUUAUAUACCAGAUUAUAAUAAAAAAAAUAUUCUCUGUAUUUGUGUCCCAACUAGUUGCAAAAGAGGAGGGUUGCUCUUUGUGCCACUACACUAGACCACCCCACCAGACAACUGAGGCGAGCAGCUCCCACCGUAAAGCAACACCAUCUCCGACCGCUCCGUCGUAAAAGGCCAUGCCCCCUCGCCAUGCUACCGCAAAGCAAUGCCGGGCUUAAGGUGCAUGUGUAGCAGCUACUGCCGCUCUGGCUCCUGACACGGGCAAACCAGCUGUUCUAGUUAUGGCUGAUCGCUCUGCUGGAGAAGCACGGUGUGGCCCGCCUAGAACAUCUCCGCUAGACCGCAAAGCCCAGCGAGGCAGCAACAUCCCAUCUAGAACCCACAGUGCAGGCCUUCUAGCACACACGCAACUGGGCGCCACUGCAUCUAAACUAGAACCCACCAUGCAGGCCUUCCAGAACAUCCUCACUAGCACACAAGCUGCUGGGGUGGCAAGCAUCUAAACUAGAACCCACCGUGCAGGCUUUCUAGAACGUCAUAGCUAGAACACAGCAGCUGGGCUACAGCAUCUAAUCUAGAACUGGUAGGGUGGAUUUUCUAGAACAAAGACCCAGCUGGGUAGAACAUGUAAUAUAGAAUCCCUAGCAGCACCCUUCUAGAAUUGGGGGUCACAACCCUCAGGGGUUGCAAGGUUAUUACAGGGGGGCUGUGAGCUUUCAGCCCCUAUGCAAGGCGGAGCUGACAGCCUGAGCCCUUCCAGACUAGCUCCACCUCCAAUGAAAGGUUGCCAAAAUAGAAGUUUGCCCAGGGCACUGUUUUCCCCAAGGCCCACU